UACGUAGGGUCCGAGCGUUGUCCGGAUUUAUUGGGCGUAAAGAGCUCGUAGGCGGUUCCGUAAGUCAGAUGUGAAAACUCAGGGCUCAACCCGGAGACGCCAUCUGAUACUGCGGUGACUGGAGUCUGGUAGGGGAACACGGAAUUCCUGGUGUAGCGGUGAAAUGCGCAGAUAUCAGGAGGAACACCGAUGGCGAAGGCAGUGUUCUGGGCCAGUACUGACGCUCAUGCACGAAAGCGUGGGGAGCAAACAGG
rnacentral:rRNA from 1 species